rnacentral:lncRNA from 1 species
UUUUUAAACAUAUAGAUACAUAUAUAUUGAUACACACACACAAUAUAAUUGGAAGGUAAUCUCAGAGGGAAGCCAUUAGCAGGAAGUCGGAAGCAGGGGCCUCCAGAGAGACCUACAGAACUGGGGAUUUGAGGGGCAGAGUCCUUCUCUUUAGCCUUAUCUAGUCAUGAAUUCCAGAGCCAUAGGAGCUUAGUAAGGGAAGGCAGUGAGACGGAGAACGGGAGGGAGAUGGGAAACAUCCCUCCCCUUUUGAACUUUAGAGUCUCACCCCAGCACCCAGGACCACACUCAGUGUCAUUGUCAGCGGUCCUGGCUCACACUGGGAAGUUCUGCGCUCUAGUCAACUGGGAAAUAGAUUUUGAUGUUUAAAAAAAAAAAGGAAAGGUUUCAUGAUAAAAAAGGCAUUCAUUCUCCCCAGCCGGCGGGAGGCUCUGGCCGUCCUGCUCCUGUCACCCCUGAGGAUUCUUCCAGCGCCAUCUCCAUCAGCUCGAGCAUCAGCUCAGCCAAGUUGGGACUCUUGGCACGGCCCCCGUGUAGAGCCCAGCCAAAGAAUUCCAUGCUGUGCACAUCUGCAGCGCGGAACGCGGGCCUUUCGGAGGGAGAUUUAUUGCUUUUGCUUCUUCCCCUCCUCCUCGUCGAAGGUUUCUGGAUGCUGUUCCUUGUGUACAGCAUGCGCCUCGGGCUUAUCGGGGACGGGAUCCAUUAAAUGCCCCACUAUGCUGGCUUGCUGCUGAUGCAAAGAGGAAAAGGACCAUCUGCCCUCAAGAAGCAGAUUCUGUCUAUUGUAGAAGAAAGAGGCAUCUAUACGACAGUAUUUGUGUUGGUGUCCUGGAUGCAGAUGUAGACACAUCUAGGUGCACACAUACACAUUAGCAAUAAAAUAUCUUUAAUGCUAGAAACUGUAAUUUGU